AUUGAACGCUGGCGGCAGGCCUAACACAUGCAAGUCGAACGAGUGGCGGACGGGUGAGUAAUGUCUGGGACACUCCCAGAUGGAGGGGGUUAAUUACUGGAAACGGUAGCAAAUACCGCAUACCAUCGGAUGUGCCCUGAGUGGAUUAGACAGUAGGUAGGGUAACGGCUAACCUAGGCGCCGAUCCCUAGCUGGUCUGAGAGGAUGACCGGCCACACUGGAACUGAGACACGGUCCAGACUCCUACGGGAGGCAGCAGGGGGGAAUAUUGCACAAUGGGCGCAAGCCUGAUGCAGCCAUGCCGCGUGUAUGAAGAAGGCCUUCGGGUUGUAAAGUACUUUCAGCGAGGAGGCGUUACUCGCAGAAGAAGCACCGGCUAACUCCGUGCCAGCAGCCGCGGUAAUAC
rnacentral:rRNA from 1 species